UUAUCUGAUUAAGGUGUAUGAAAUAUUUUCUACCACCAAAGACCCGUAUUUUUUCUCGCUGAUUGGGAACUUAGCUGUUCCGGGGGUAACCUCCCGAGAGGAAGGCGCCAUUCUUCUCAAAUCAACCGUCGGCCAUCAGUGGAAUCAGAGGAUUUUGUUCGAUGUCUCCCGCGGCUAUCUAUUGCGCAGCGACUCCCCUUGAUAUUCCCUACUGUAGCUGCGACCAAAUUAGAGAUUUUGAAAUCUUUCAAGCGGCCAACACCAAGCCUAUACAAUAAUGUGUUGCAAGAGUUACUCGUCCAGCAGCACUUGAUGAGAGAUACAGGAGAAUCUAUCAGGAUGAUGCUGUCUUUGCACUCAACUUUGUCACCCUCUAUGAACAACUCCUAGCCUUGAAGACCAAGCUGCUAUGUGAUGCUGGUGGUUCUCCGCCAAAACGCCAAAUGAUGGUUGCUCUGCUAUGCUUAGUCACACAUUGAAGUCGAUAUAGCGACGCAGUCGUCAUGAGCUGAAUACGUUGGAAUCAUAUCGUAUAGAGCCAGAAAGGUAAGCUACAUAGCCUUUUAUAGUAGAUACAUACUCUGUCCACUUUAGAUAUGAUGCCAAGAAGAUGAGCGGGGUCGUUCACAAGAUGCUACUACAUUAUUUGUUUUCUUAUCAAGAGGAGAGGAUUGCUGACAGAGUCCCAAGGAAAAAGUAGCAGCAGAAGGGCAGAAUCCCAGAAGGCUAAUGAAGCCAUUAUAAAUUGCGUGGGACAUUAUUAAUAUAUAAAGAGUAACUUUACUGAACUAACACCUUGAAUUGUUCCAAUUGUUUGGUUUAGGAAGCUGCAGCAUUUUCUUAGGGGCAUUUACAUACAUACCACCAAAUUCUUAUUUUCUUACAAAUCU